rnacentral:pre_miRNA from 1 species
AAUGACACGUUUUCUCCCGGAUUGCUAACAAUAAACGCAACCGGGAAUUUCGUGUCAGCCA